rnacentral:lncRNA from 1 species
AAUUUUGACAUGGAAGAACCUUUGGCCUAGAAGCCGUUAGCUAGCCCUAGCAUAAACACACCCAAGCUAAGCCGCGCAUUGUUUACAUAGCAUGCCUUCUCCUGACAGCGCGGAAAACAACAGCAACUAUCAGACAAACAUGCCCCGUCCUAUCUCAUUUGUUUGCUGAUAGGACGACAGACAAACCGCUAACAUUUGUCAACUCAAGCCACGCUGGAAAGAGAAGAUUUACCAAAUCAGUUUGAUAGCUUCAAGACUAGCAUUCGACAGAAACAUGGGAAGAAAUCCAUAAUCGGACACGUCUGGAGUUCCCAUAAUACUGUGGUAGAACUCGUGAAAAUUCCUUCCCAGCGCUGAGGGAUCAGGAGGUGUCCGGAGAUGGAACUAGCGCUCCGGCUAGCACGUUCAGACUGGGAAAAGGAAAACGAAGCGGCUCGAACCAACACAGCCCGGGACUCUCCCACUCCCCUCCAGGUCGCUCACCGUUCUUCAGCGGCUCCAGAUCCCCGGCGUCCCUCGUCUCUUCAGCUCCUUCCCCGGAGCUCAUGGCUGCCGCUACGACCCGGACUUCAGGAUCUCCCCCCAAAACCGACAGAUACGGUGUACGGCCACUCCCGUCUGAACAAAAGCCUCCUUAAUGCCACAUGGACGGUCACGGCGGCUCCUGAACAUUAGCCGAGCCAUCUGCACUCCUCCAUCUUGGGGGAGCGUAAUUGGAAACGGUCUGCCGGGGGCACCGGGUUCCUCCUCGGAGUGAGGCCGAGGGGAGAGUCCAGGGAGCGGGAGGGGCUGGCUCCGCGUGCUUUCGGAAGUGAUUCCUCAGUGGGUCAUCGGAGCACGAGGCGCUCCAACUUCUAUGAAGAGCUUUGAAGAAUAACGUCAUAACAGUAAAUCUGUUUCUGUGCAAAUGACGUUUUACCGCCCAAGAAAAUAUUUAUGUUCAGAUGUACACACUUUAGUUUUUCCAUUGUUUUCUGUUGUUAAAAAAAAAAAAAAAUCAAAAUGUGUAGUUACUCAUUUACAGAGAAGUUUGGGUUCAAACAGAAACAGGUCAGCUGGUUCGGUCAAAGUUCUGUCAGUUCUUCUUUCUUUGACUCAAUGGCUCCCUCUGCUGGUGGAAACAGGAACUUACACCUGCUGUCAAUUGGUCAAUAAUCUCUUU